UCGAGGGAGGAGCCUUCGGGCUUCGACCGGCGUACGGGUGCGUAACGCGUAUACAAUCUGCCUUUCACAUAGGGAUAGCCCGAAGAAAUUUGGAUUAAUACCUAAUGGUAUAUAGGAGUGGCAUCACAUUUAUAUUAAAGCUGAGGCGGUGAAAGAUGAGUAUGCGUUCUAUUAGCUAGUUGGAGAGGUAACGGCUCCCCAAGGCGACGAUAGAUAGGGGUUCUGAGAGGGAUAUCCCCCACACUGGUACUGAGAUACGGACCAGACUCCUACGGGAGGCAGCAGUGAGGAAUAUUGGACAAUGGUCGGAAGACUGAUCCAGCCAUGCCGCGUGCAGGAAGACGGCCUUAUGGGUUGUAAACUGCUUUUGCAGGGGAAGAAUAAGGAGUACGUGUACUUUGAUGACGGUACUCUGCGAAUAAGCAUCGGCUAACUCCGUGCCAGCAGCCGCGGUAAUACGGAGGAUGCGAGCGUUAUCCGGAAUCAUUGGGUUUAAAGGGUCCGUAGGCGGGCUAAUAAGUCAGAGGUGAAAGCGCUCAGCUCAACUGAGCAACUGCCUUUGAAACUGUUAGUCUUGAAUGGUUGUGAAGUAGUUGGAAUGUGUAGUGUAGCGGUGAAAUGCUUAGAUAUUACACAGAACACCGAUAGCGAAGGCAUAUUACUAACAAUUAAUUGACGCUGAUGGACGAAAGCGUGGGGAGCGAACAGGAUU
rnacentral:rRNA from 1 species